UACGUAGGGUGCGAGCGUUGUCCGGAAUUACUGGGCGUAAAGAGCUCGUAGGUGGUUUGUCGCGUUGUUCGUGAAAACCUGAGGCUUAACCUUGGCGUGCGGGCGAUACGGGCAGACUGGAGUACUGCAGGGGAGACUGGAAUUCCUGGUGUAGCGGUGGAAUGCGCAGAUAUCAGGAGGAACACCGGUGGCGAAGGCGGGUCUCUGGGCCGAACUGACGUGCUGAGGAGCGAAAGCGUGGGGAGCGAACAGG
rnacentral:rRNA from 1 species